GGGGGGGGGCAAGCGUUGUUCGGAGUUACUGGGCGUAAAGGGGGGCGCGUAGGCGGUCCGAGAAGUUUCGGGGUGAAAGCCCCGGGCUCAACCCGGGAAGGUCCCGGAAAACCAUCGGACUUGAGUGCUGGAGAGGCAAGCGGAAUUUCUGGUGUAGCGGUGAAAUGCGUAGAUAUCAGAAGGAACAUCGGAGGCGAAGGCGGCUUGCUGGACAGCAACUGACGCUGAGGCGCGAAAGCCAGGGGAGCGAACGGGAUUAGAUACCCCGGUAGUCCUGGCCGUAAACGAUGGGUACUUGGUGUUGGCAGCGGGAAGGUUGUCAGUGUCGUCGAUAACUCGUUAAGUACCCCGCCUGGGGAGUACGAUCGCAAAGAUUG
rnacentral:rRNA from 1 species